GACAAGUAAACAUGCCAAAGGCGCACCAACUCCAGAGCCUUUUUUUCAUUUUUUGUCUUGGCCCGCGGUUUUCAAAUUUCCACCUUCCCACUGGAUAAAGUUCAAGAAUUCUCUCAAUACUUUCUCCCUCUACGUACACAUUCAAAUUACGAUCACCUCCUUCGAUCAUAUUCUAAAGCUUCCACCGCCGGCAAAUCGACCAUAUUUUCUGGAACGAAAAGUGGGGAUGAAGACGACGAGUUUGUGGAGACCCAGUACUACAAAGAGUUGGAAUCCAUUGAUAAACAGCAUCGCACGGUUCGGUUAAUUAUUCCUUUUCUUUGCUUGUUGAAUUUGUAUAUGUUGGCAUAAAUACUUAUUAAAUUGGGGGUUUCUGGUUUCUUGUACUGAACAGACAGGAAAUGGUUUUAUAAAAAGGGACAUGGAAAAGAGCGGAAAUGAAGAGCAUUUUCAAUUACGAGGAAGCCAUGGCACUAAUGGAGGAUUUAAACAGACAAUUUUCAAAACUAACCCAGCAACAAAUGAUUGGAUUCCAAGCUUCGAAGAUCAUCAGGUGAUUUAAUUAUUAAUUCGGUGAUCACUUAUGCUAAUAAAAGUUGAUUUGAGAUUAGUGCAUUGGCUAUUUUAAUCAGGUUGAAUAUAUUUCGUCGAAGCCAAAUCGGAGCGAGAGUUGUUAGGUCGCCGGCAGUAAGAGAGAUUAUCAUGCCAUGGACUUAUCUUAUUUUAAUCUUGUAUUAUUGGAAAGAGAAAUUAGCCAUUUGGUGAGAAUAAAAUAUAUGGAAUUAUUGAGUAUUCCCCAAACGGGUGUUUGGAAGACAUU
rnacentral:lncRNA from 1 species